rnacentral:rRNA from 1 species
AACGAACGCUGGCGGCAUGCCUAACACAUGCAAGUCGAACGAACCCUUCGGGGUUAGUGGCGCACGGGUGCGUAACGCGUGGGAAUCUGCCCAAAGGUUCGGAAUAACACAGAGAAAUUUGUGCUAAUACCGGAUAAUGUCUUCGGACCAAAGAUUUAUUGCCUUUGGAUGAGCCCGCGUUGGAUUAGCUUGUUGGUGAGGUAACGGCUCACCAAGGCGACGAUCUAUAGCUGGUCUGAGAGGAUGAUCAGCCACACUGGGACUGAGACACGGCCCAGACUCCUACGGGAGGCAGCAGUGGGGAAUAUUGGACAAUGGGCGAAAGCCUGAUCCAGCAAUGCCGCGUGAGUGAUGAAGGCCUUAGGGUUGUAAAGCUCUUUUACCAGGGAUGAUAAUGACAGUACCUGGAGAAUAAGCUCCGGCUAACUCCGUGCCAGCAGCCGCGG